GUGGAUUAGAUACCCUGGUAGUCCACGCUGUAAACGAUGAGCACUAGGUGUCGCGGGUAUUGACCCCUGCGGUGCCGACGCUAACGCAUUAAGUGCUCCGCCUGGGGACUACGGCCGCAAGGCUAAAACUCAAAGGAAUUGACGGGGGCCCGCACAAGCGGUGGAGCAUGUGGUUCAAUUCGACGCAACGCGAAGAACCUUACCUGGGCUAGACAACGGAGGACCGCCUCAGAGAUGAGGUUUUCCCUUCGGGGACUUCCGGUUCAGGUGCUGCAUGGCUGUCGUCAGCU
rnacentral:rRNA from 1 species